rnacentral:rRNA from 1 species
GACGAACGCUGGCGGCGUGCUUAACACAUGCAAGUCGAACGGAAAGGCCCUGCUUUUGUGGGGUGCUCGAGUGGCGAACGGGUGAGUAACACGUGAGUAACCUGCCCUUGACUUUGGGAUAACUUCAGGAAACUGGGGCUAAUACCGGAUAGGAGCUCCUGCUGCAUGGUGGGGGUUGGAAAGUUUCGGCGGUUGGGGAUGGACUCGCGGCUUAUCAGCUUGUUGGUGGGGUAGUGGCUUACCAAGGCUUUGACGGGUAGCCGGCCUGAGAGGGUGGCCGGCCACAUUGGGACUGAGAUACGGCCCAGACUCCUACGGGAGGCAGCAGUGGGGAAUAUUGCACAAUGGGCGGAAGCCUGAUGCAGCAACGCCGCGUGCGGGAUGACGGCCUUCGGGUUGUAAACCGCUUUCGCCUGUGACGAAGCGUGAGUGACGGUAAUGGGGAAAGAAGCACCGGCUAACUACGU